rnacentral:ncRNA from 1 species
CUCGGUCUCUAUCCAGGACAACCGUUGAUAUUUGAGGAGAUUCGUCCCUAGUACGAGAGGACUGGGAUGAGGGAAUCCCUGGUGUGCCAGUUGUGGAAACUUUCUGCAGCGCUGGGUAACUAGAUUCCCAACGGAUAACCGCUGAAAGCAUCUAAGUGGGAAGCCGUCUCCAAGAUAAGAUAUCGCCUUAUGCAUAGCAUAAGGAAAUUUGAAACACUAAGCUCGAAAUUCUAAACAAUUUCAAAAUUCAAAUGAUCAAAAUUCGAAAAUUUUUGGAUUUAGUAUUUGGAAAAUUGGAAUUUGUUUCGGAUUUAGGAUUUAGAAAUUCGGAUUUUCUCAUGCUGUGCAUGAGUGACACCCCUUCUAGACCAGGAGGUUGAUAGGCGGGCAGUGUAAGACAAGUAAUUGUUUGAGCUUACCCGUACUAAUGGUGGAAAAAGUAGUUUUU